CUUCUCAAUGCAACCUUUUACUGUUCCUCUUUCUCGAUGCUUUGCUGCGCUCAAAAUAAAAAUAUUCACUGCAUCAAUAAAUUUUUUGCAUCAAUCUAUGUCAAUGGCUGUUCAAUUCCUUCUCACUAUUCUCUUCAUAUGCAAAACGAAUCUGACAUUCCACAGACCCUAGGUGAUGCAUCUUCCGAUCUAUGCUUCUACUUCCUCUGCUUUACAUCUUCUUCUUCCUUCUACUAUUGGUUCGUGCAUUGAAGUUUGGAUCGCUGAGGUCGAUGCGGUUGGGGAUGUGAUUCAGCCUAGAUUGUUGAGAGUUGUUGCUGCGAAGGUGAAGUUGAAUCAAUGUUGAAGAUGGAUUGAAAUUUUGUAAGGGGCGAUGGUGUCGCUAAUGCUGUGAAGGCUGGAGAAUCGCGAGUUGAAGGAGAUGUUCGGUUUAAAACAAGGUGAUGUAUUUUGGAAACUUACUCCGCUCUGAGUUUAAUGUUGUAGUGUUUGAUUCUGUUUUACAUGUGCUGUAUGAAACGAUGGAUGAAAUUGCCGAAAGAGAUGUCGUAGUUAUUCCAAUUUUCUUGCGGGAUUGGCUACGGUUUCAGUUGGAAGAAGGAUAUUAUGGCUUUGAUGAUUAUUGAAUUCGAUGAGGUAUGAUCUUCGGUGGAGAUGUCAUUCAGAGCCAUUGAGAUAUUUGAUGAGUAAAAGAUAGUGUUGGUUUAUCCUGCUUUACUUUGUUUCUUUGUUCUAUUGUUGUGCUUGCCUCAUCUAAAUAAUAACCCUAACAUGGUGGAACAGAAGGAUUUUGAAAACCUUAUGAAAUAUCCACGUCGAAUCUGACAUGAGUCAACUGUAAGUGAUGUUAAUUCAUGCUUCUAUUGGAUUACUGAUUUAUGGACAUUUAUUGCAAUUCGAUGGGACUAUAUAGAAAAUAGUUGUGAAAGUAUAGACUUUCAAUAAAGAGGAACUAAACUGCAAAUUUGUUUCAAGAAUUUAUUCCAAUGGUUAUAUUUAUGUCUUCACUCUAAGUUCUCGAUGUUGCUAGAAAGGUUUGUUUUUCUUCUACGAAAUUUACUCUUGCUGUUGUUCCUGCUUUAUCCAAAGCUCACAUAUUUGUAUAAUAUUUUAGCAAAAUUCUUGUGAUGUGUUUGGCUAAUGGGAUUUCAGUUUCAUUUCCAAAGUUUUGAUAUUGGAGUUUAUCAACUUUUUAGUUGACCAUUCUGAUCAUGGGACUUGCUGCACUACUUUUGGAUGAAGAUGAAUGUAUUAUAUGAAUAGUAAUUUAAAAUGGUUCAAGUCCUAAUGCAAAAAUUCUGAUUUUUGUGCUAAUAUUUGAAACAGGCUUUGAUUCUUGCAGAUUCUUGUGGAUUUUCCAGCGAGCUAUUGGUGUAUUUACGUAGCAUCAUCAGUUAUUUUGCGGAUUAUUUUGUUCACGUAAAGCUAAUUGAUAGUCCAUCUAUCUUUUUAUACCACAGGGUUUUACAUGUUAUUCCUCCAAAUGAAGCAAUUGAUAUAAUUGAGGUUAUACAAUCAGCGUCAAAUCCGACAUUUGUAUCAUGGAUAGGCGGGGCGGUAUGUUGAAUCAUAAUACAAUCGUGCUUCACUUCAUUAAUUUCUUCACUUUGGUUAUUAAGUGUUUUCACUGAGUAACUUUCUUAGUUCUUAAAUUCCCUGCAGUACACUCAUGAUCUUAUUUGUAGAAUGAACUGUCAUCACCAAUAUAUUCCGUGGAAAUUACUGGAGAAUACACUGUAUCAUCCCUUUGAUAGCUCCUGAGGUUUUCAUGCAUCUACUAUUUUGAGAUGAUGCUGAUAUUGGAGAAACCAAGGCCUUAAUAUCAUGUGCUCUCACAGAACUAGGCUUCGAUAUCACAAUUGGAGUAGGUUGAACGGGAAAAGUUUGACUUUUCUCUAUACCUUUGUUUUAAAUUAUAAAAGAAAUAUAUUAAAGUAUAGAAAGAAAGAGGUUGUGCACGCCCUUUCAGAGACCACCCUUGAAGGAAAAGAAAAUCGACAAUCAGGGUGUUCAAGACCAGUAAACUUCAUUUUGUUUGAAGUUUUUUUUUUAACUCCAAUAAACUUCGUUUUGUUUGCGUAUUUUGAUUCUCAUUAUUUUAUUUGAUAUACUAGGUUAUAAGACUCCGGAAGGCCAAAAACCUAUUUCCAUUGUCAGAUCUACCGCUUCAUUAUUUUGUUUGUUUGUUUCUACAUCCUGCAACCCCUUGCUGUUUGGAGGAGGGACUGCAUUUUCUAUAUUUAUCAGGUGCUUUGUGGAUAACAGAGGAAUAGAAAAGGAGCUUCACCGGAUUUGUAAAUGCUAAAUUAUUUAUGUCAUGUGGAUUUUAUGUUUUUCUUCCUCUAGAUUGUGCUUCUGAUCUUUGCUGUGAUGAUGGCAUUUGCUAUACAAAUUUGUGUUGGAGAUGUCACGAAUCCGAUAGACCCCGUCAAUUGUUGCUCGGGUAUUGAGCACUACUCCAUGUAUCACCUAGCUUUUUAUCAGUGUUAUUAAUCGUGAAUUGCAUUAGAUAAUAGUUUGUUCAAAUUCCAUUUUCAAUUCCGCAACCUCAACCAAAACCGCAACCACCACUUUAAGCUUCUUCUGCUCAUGUUCUCUACAUUGGUUUGUAUCUUUCUCACCAUGUAGAUAUAGUUGAAAUCUCGAUACUGAAUUAAAGGGACAUAUAACGUCAAUUUCCCAGUAUGUAGUUUAUGUUUAUUUUCCGUUGUAAUUAUUGCAGUAUUUAUGUGA